rnacentral:rRNA from 1 species
CAGCCGCCGCGGUAAUACAGAGGGUGCGAGCGUUAAUCGGAUUUACUGGGCGUAAAGCGUGCGUAGGCGGCUUCUUAAGUCGGAUGUGAAAUCCCUGAGCUUAACUUAGGAAUUGCAUUCGAUACUGGGAAGCUAGAGUAUGGGAGAGGAUGGUAGAAUUCCAGGUGUAGCGGUGAAAUGCGUAGAGAUCUGGAGGAAUACCGAUGGCGAAGGCAGCCAUCUGGCCUAAUACUGACGCUGAGGUACGAAAGCAUGGGGAGCAAACAGGAUUAGAUACCCCAGUAGUCCCUGUCUCUUAACA